UUGACAUUCAGGACCUAGGUACAAAUUUGGGAGACUAUAUUACAAUAUAUAUUAUUGACACUGCCCACUGGAACAAUGUACCAAUAUUUAUCUACUAUGUAUAGCAUAGUGCCCUACUAUACGAUGUGAUCAGGCAUUGGAGGCAAUUAGCUGAAUAUGUGUUUAAUCUAAGAUGUAUCAUUUAUUAAUUGAUACAGUUAGGCUUUGUGUUCCCACCCAAAUCUCAUCUUGAAUUGUAAUCCCCAUAACACCACGUGUCAAGAGAGGGACCUGGUGGAAACUGAUUGAAACAUUUGGGUGGUCCCCCUAUGCUGUUAUGAUAGUGAGUGAGUUAUGAGAUCACAUGGGUUUAUAAGUGGCAGUUUCCCCUGCUCUUCUCUCUCUCUUGCCACCUUGUGAAGAAGGUGCUUGCUUCCCCUUUGCCUUCCACCAUGAUUGUAAGAUUCCUGAGGCUUUCCCAGCUGUGUGGAAAUUAACAUUCUUUGGAAGCCUUGUAGAAGUCUAAUACACCUGCUCAGGGGACUACAUGGGACUGUCCUAAGACAGAAUGGGAAGAUAGUGGACCCCAGCUGAGCCCAGCUUUCUACUCUCUUCAUCAAGGUGACAGAAUACUUUCCAUCCAUGGUUGGUUGAAUCCACGGACACAGAACCCACAGAUAUGAAGGGUUGAGUAUACCUGAUAAUGGUAUUUCUGAGCUCUGAAAAUAUUUUGCUACUCGGAUUGAGCCUGGACACUAGAAGAAUGCUGCUCAACAAAUGUUAAACAAUAGUGGGGUUUAUCAUCUACUCUCCUCCUUGAUCUUCCACAUCUGCUCUUGUGCUGCUCGGUUUAACUUUAUAGACUAUUCUGAAAACUAAUGAUUCCUAAAGGUUAAGGUUUUUCAAUAAAUAUAAAGUCAUGAAUAUUAGUUUUCUCCUUUAUAGUUUCAUGGUCUAUAAUGAAUUUCAGUUCAAGCAUUUUUCCUUACUUAAUAACAACGAAGGUUAAGGAUGUUUAUUUCUUGUCAAGGCCUUAUUAAUAAUCAUUAUGAAGCACAAUCAAGACAUCUCAAAGGUUAGCAGUAUUGGUGAUUCUGCA
rnacentral:lncRNA from 10 species